rnacentral:rRNA from 1 species
AGCGAACGCUGGCGGCAGGCCUAACACAUGCAAGUCGAACGAAGUGGCGGACGGGUGAGUAACACGUGGGAACGUGCCUUUAGGUUCGGAAUAACUCAGGGAAACUUGUGCUAAUACCGAAUGCCUUUAGAGUGGCCCGCGUCUGAUUAGAGAGUUGGUGAGGUAAAGGCUCACAAAGGCGACGAUCAGUAGCUGGUCUGAGAGGAUGAUCAGCCACAUUGGGACUGAGACACGGGCCAAACUCCAACGGGAUGCAGCUGUGGGGAAUUGUGCGCAAUGGGCUAAAGCCUGACACAGCCAUGCCGCGGGGAUGAUUAAGGUCUUAGGAUAGGAAAAUUCUUUCACCGGGGACGCGGUACCCGGAGAAGAAGCCCCGGCUAACUGCGUGCCAACAGCCGCGGUAAUUC